GACGAACGCUGGCGGCGUGCCUAAUACAUGCAAGUAGAACGCACAGUUUAUACCGUAGCUUGCUACACCAUAGACUGUGAGUUGCGAACGGGUGAGUAACGCGUAGGUAACCUGCCUGGUAGCGGGGGAUAACUAUUGGAAACGAUAGCUAAUACCGCAUAAUAUUGAUUAUUGCAUGAUAAUUGAUUGAAAGAUGCUAUUGCAUCACUACCAGAUGGACCUGCGUUGUAUUAGCUAGUAGGUGAGGUAACGGCUCACCUAGGCGACGAUACAUAGCCGACCUGAGAGGGUGAUCGGCCACACUAGGACUGAGACACGGCCCAGACUCCUACGGGAGGCAGCAGUAGGGAAUCUUCGGCAAUGGACGAAAGUCUGACCGAGCAACGCCGCGUGAGUGAAGAAGGUUGUCGGAUCGUAAAGCUCUGUUGUAAGAGAAGAACGGGUGUGAGAGUGGAAAGUUCACACUGUGACGGUAGCUUACCAGAAAGGGACGGCUAACUACGUG
rnacentral:rRNA from 1 species